rnacentral:rRNA from 1 species
AGGGUUUGAUCCUGGCUCAGGAUGAACGCUAGCGGGAGGCUUAACACAUGCAAGUCGAGGGGCAGCAUUCACUUCGGUGAGAUGGCGACCGGCGCACGGGUGCGUAACGCGUAUGCAACCUACCUUUUACAGAAGGAUAAGCCCGAAGAAAUUCGGAUUAAUACUUCAUAGCAUUGUUUGAAUGCAUAUUCGAACAAUUAAAGAUUUAUCGGUAAAAGAUGGGCAUGCGUGACAUUAGGUAGUUGGUAAGGUAACGGCUUACCAAGCCAUUGAUGUCUAGGGGUCCUGAGAGGGUGAUCCCCCACACUGGUACUGAGACACGGACCAGACUCCUACGGGAGGCAGCAGUGAGGAAUAUUGGUCAAUGGACGCAAGUCUGAACCAGCCAUCCCGCGUGAAGGAAGACGGCCUUAUGGGUUGUAAACUGCUUUUGUAUGGGAAGAAAAGACUCUUGCGAGAGGCACUGACGGUACCAUACGAAUAAGCACCGGCUAACUCCGUGCCAGCAGCCGCGGUAAUACGGAGGGUGCAAGCGUUGUCCGGAUUUAUUGGGUUUAAAGGGUGCGUAGGCGGUUUAUUAAGUCAGUGGUGAAAGAGUACAGCUUAACUGUAGAAGUGCCAUUGAUACUGGUAGACUUGAGUAUACUAUAGGCAGGCGGAAUUUAUGAUGUAGCGGUGAAAUGCAUAGAUAUCAUAAAGAACCCCGAUAGCGAAGGCAGCUCACUAAGCCAUUAUUGACGCUAAGGGACGAAAGCGUGGGGAGCGAACAGGAUUAGAUACCCUGGUAGUCCACGCUGUAAACGAUGAUCACUCGAUAUUGGCGACAAACUGUCAGUGUCUAAGCGAAAGUGAUAAGUGAUCCACCUGGGGAGUACGAUCGCAAGGUUGAAACUCAAAGGAAUUGACGGGGGCCCGCACAAGCGGUGGAGCAUGUGGUUUAAUUCGAUGAUACGCGAGGAACCUUACCAGGGCUUAAAUGCAGAACGACCGAUUGGGAAACCAAUCCUUCUUCGGACAAUAUGCAAGGUGCUGCAUGGUUGUCGUCAGCUCGUGCCGUGAGGUGUUGGGUUAAGUCCCGUAACGAGCGCAACCCCUAUUCUUAGUUGCCAGCGGUUCGGCCGGGGACUCUAAGAAAACUGCCAGCGCAAGCUGUGAGGAAGGUGGGGAUGACGUCAAAUCAUCACGGCCCUUACGUCCUGGGCUACACACGUGCUACAAUGGUGCGGACAAAGAGCAGCCACUUGGUGACAAGGAGCUAAUCUCAAAACCGCAUCUCAGUUCGGAUUGAAGUCUGCAACUCGACUUCAUGAAGCUGGAAUCGCUAGUAAUCGCGCAUCAGCCAUGGCGCGGUGAAUACGUUCCCGGGCCUUGUACACACCGCCCGUCAAACCAUGGAAGUUGGGGGUACCUGAAGUCGGUAACCAUUUAGGAGCCGCCUAGGGUAAAACUAGUGACUGGGGCUAAGUCAUAACAAGGUAACCGUA